rnacentral:rRNA from 1 species
GAUGAACGCUGGCGGCGUGCUUAACACAUGCAAGUCGAACGAAGCACUUUAUUUGAUUUCCUUCGGGACUGAUUAUUUUGUGACUGAGUGGCGGACGGGUGAGUAACGCGUGGGUAACCUGCCUUGUACAGGGGGAUAACAGUUGGAAACGGCUGCUAAUACCGCAUAAGCGCACAGCAUCGCAUGAUGCAGUGUGAAAAACUCCGGUGGUAUAAGAUGGACCCGCGUUGGAUUAGCUAGUUGGUGAGGUAACGGCCCACCAAGGCGACGAUCCAUAGCCGACCUGAGAGGGUGACCGGCCACAUUGGGACUGAGACACGGUCCAAACUCCUACGGGAGGCAGCAGUGGGGAAUAUUGCACAAUGGGCGAAAGCCUGAUGCAGCGACGCCGCGUGAGCGAAGAAGUAUUUCGGUAUGUAAAGCUCUAUCGGCAGGGAAGAUAAUGACGGUACCUGACUAAGAAGCACCGGCUAAAUACGUG